CAAUAGCGUAUAUUAAAGUUGUUGCAGUUAAAAAGCUCGUAGUUGGAUUUCUGGUGGGAGCGAUCGGUCUGGCGCUUAGCGCGAGUACUUGCAUCGUCUCCGGCCAUCCUUGGGGAGAGUCUGUCUGGCAUUAGGUUGUCGGGCAGAGGAUCCUCAUCGUUUACUGUGAAAAAAUUAGAGUGUUCAAAGCAGGCUUAUGCCGUUGAAUAUAUUAGCAUGGAAUAAUAAGAUAGGACUUUAGUACUAUUUUGUUGGUUUGCGCACCAAAGUAAUGAUUAAUAGGGACAGUUGGGGGUAUUCGUAUUCCGUUGUCAGAGGUGAAAUUCUUGGAUUUACGGAAGACGAACUACUGCGAAAGCAUUUACCAAGGAUGUUUUCAUUAA
rnacentral:rRNA from 1 species